UUUGUAAUAAUUUUUUUUGUGAUUUCGGGUGUGUAUAAAAUAAAAAACAUAGGACGCGGAAGAAUUGCAGGACAAUAUGGAAGAAUUAGUGGACAAGGCAGAAAGUCCAAGUUACAAGCAAGUUAAUUUGUGGUCUGACGGCGACACAAGAAUGCUGCUGGACUUAUACGCCAAGUAUUUGCCCCAAAUUGGCCCCUUACGGAAAUUUAGAAAUAAAAAAGAAAUGUGGUCAAAAGUUGCGGAGAAGGUUGGAAAUAAAAGUGCAAAACAGUGCGAAGAGCGCUAUAAAACUGUUUUAAGACGGAAAAAAUUGGCGGUGGAAAACAAUAACACGUCGGGCUCAAAGAGGCAAAAAAUUGACUUUGAAGAAGAGCUGUUCCAAAUUUGCAAUCUAGAUGAUUCAAUUGAGCCGGAGAUUCAAAUAAGCAGCCAAAAAAUUAUUAAGCGGGAGCAGCGUGAUAUAUUGGCAAGUACUUCCACGUCAAAGAAAAAGCAAAGUGUGCAGGAUACUCUGCUUGAAAUUGCAAAGCUUAAUGAAGAGGCAAAAGAAAGGCGCCAUAGAGAGAAAAUGGAAGCGAUUAAAGACAUGAAGCAAAAUUUGGAGAGAUUAUUCCAACAAAAAUGAAUUUGCUGGGCAACAAAACAAAACAAAAAUUUUAAAGACUUAAAUGAAUUUAAUUCAUAUGUGGCAUAAGAUAAACUGUUUUGCUUUUGGUCUUGCAAUUACAACAACACUUUAAAACAAGUGGAAGAUACUGGCCAAGGCUUUUGGAAAGUUGUGCUUAUUUAACUUAUACCAAUGAAAAUACUACAAUUAUUUAAUAAU